UACGUAGGGUCCGAGCGUUGUCCGGGUUUACUGGGCGUAAAGGGCGCGUAGGCGGCCACUACAAGUCACUUGUGAAAUCUCUGGGCUUAACUCGGAACGGUCAAGUGAUACUGUCGGGCUAGAGUGCAGAAGGGGCAACUGGAAUUCUCGGUGUAGCGGUGAAAUGCGUAGAUAUCGAGAGGAACACCUGCGGCGAAGGCGGGUUGCUGGGCUGACACUGACGCUGAGGCGCGAAAGCCAGGGGAGCGAACGGG
rnacentral:rRNA from 1 species